GUUUAUCUAAAUUUACAUCUCAAUGGAGUCGUACGUGAAAAGGUAAAAAUAUUGCUUUGUGUGUGAAUCUCUACCUACAUUUUCGUUGAAACAAAGUGUGAUAAAAUCUAUUCAAGAAGUUCAACAUGAUUAAUUUACUGGCAGCAAACACAAUACACUGCUCGCAGAACAGAACAUUCAAAUGUUGACGUCGCUGUGUAAUGUCAAUCAAAAAAUUGUCAUGGCUUAAAUUUUGUGUGAAAAUUUGUGAUUUAUAGAAACCCGAUGAAAUUAUGUGUGCUUUUACUUUAGCUGUAAGUUUGAAUAGCCACAUAGCUGAGGCGUGAGUUGGUCGCCUCAAGUUACUUUGAGGCACACACGUCGCCAACUGCUUGGCAUAGUGUGUUACCGUGUACUGGUCGAGGGACUACGUGUCUGUGGCGUACCUCAACGAGCUACGUCUCUCCUUACCUGAAGCCCCUCGACACAUUGCUCUAGACAUCCAGGAGCAGGCAUCACAGCACCGCUGUUAAACAAACCGCUACACAUAAAAAUACGGAGGCAGGACUUGUGAAAAAUGAUUUGCCUCUCUUUGUACGCCCUGAUCGCUUCAGCCACGAUCCUUGCGUGCGUUCCAGUCUGCUACCGACAGUUUGAGAUGCACAAGUUCGUCAAGUGUCUUCGUUCUAAAUAAGAAAUAUGUUAAUUUGCAUGAGUUGCAUGACGGCGCUCAUUGCGGUUGGUUGUAUCACUUGUGGUCCCAUCAUUUUGGACGCGUAUUGGCCUAAAUGUACCAGUGGCAACCCCACACCGCCGCCAUGCAAGAGCCCCUGCUGCCCUAAACGAUCUCACGUUAGCUGAGAAAUUGUUUUGUGUUUUGUUUACUUAAUUAAGUUGUAUUAAAUUAUAUUUUUUAUCAUCUA